UACGGAGGGUGCGAGCGUUGUCCGGAUUUAUUGGGUUUAAAGGGUGCGUAGGCGGCCCGAUAAGUCAGCGGUGAAACCCACGGGCUCAACCCGUGGCGUGCCGUUGAUACUGUUGGGCUUGGGUCAACUCUGGGCGGGCGGAACGGAAGGUGUAGCGGUGAAAUGCAUAGAUAUCUACCAGAACGCCGACAGCGAAGGCAGCUCGCUGGGGUUCGACCGACGCUGAGGCACGAUAGCGUGGGGAUCAAACAGG
rnacentral:rRNA from 1 species